AGCAUUUUCUAGGACUAGAGUCUACUUGCAUAUGAAUUUUGUAGAAAAAAGAGGCAUCGUUCCAUUUUCCAUGUUGCUCAACCUUCAAGGAGUCACCUCCAUACUUGAGAUUCCCCAGGAAUCACCUGGGCAAGACUUCUGAGAUGGGAUAGGAGUUCUGCAGAACCACAAUGUGCCUGAGAUGUGCUUCUCAGCCUCCCGUCUCAUCUCAGUCCUCCCUCACAUGGCCCUGGCCCCUGUAUGCCUUCCUCUUCACCUCUGAGAAAGGGGACAUCCCUCCCAGAGAACCAACUUACCAUGGCACCUCAAGUAGAUGAUGGACCAGUUACAUUCUUUCCCAAUGAAGCCAGACAAGAUGGCCCAGUUAGGGGAGGAGGAUCCACAGGCAGGCAAAAGAGUCAAGAGUGACUCAGAACAUUCUGAAACAAGCCAGGUUUGUGAAAGUACUGGAGAUUUACAGCUGUCGAUCAAAAAGGGCCUUGCAAUACGUCCUGACCCCAUGAGGACCAUUUCUG